GAUGAACGCUGGCGGCGUGCCUAAUACAUGCAAGUCGAGCGAACAGACGAGGAGCUUGCUCCUCUGACGUUAGCGGCGGACGGGUGAGUAACACGUGGAUAACCUACCUAUAAGACUGGGAUAACUUCGGGAAACCGGAGCUAAUACCGGAUAAUAUAUUGAACCGCAUGGUUCAAUAGUGAAAGACGGUUUUGCUGUCACUUAUAGAUGGAUCCGCGCCGCAUUAGCUAGUUGGUAAGGUAACGGCUUACCAAGGCAACGAUGCGUAGCCGACCUGAGAGAGGGAUCGGCCGCACUGGAACUGAGACACGGUCCAGACUCCUACGGGAGGCAGCAGUAGGGAAUCUUCCGCAAUGGGCGAAAGCUUGACGGAGCAACGCCGCGUGAGUGAUGAAGGUCUUCGGAUCGUAAAACUCUGUUAUUAGGGAAGAACAAAUGUGUAAGGAACUAUGCACGUCUUGACGGUACCUAAUCAGAAAGCCACGGCUAACUACGUG
rnacentral:rRNA from 1 species